rfam:Cricetulus griseus cell line CHO-K1, whole genome shotgun sequence.
GUAGAGAUGGCUCAACAGUUAAGAGCACUGGCUGGUCUUCCAGAGGACCUGGGUUCAAUUCCCAGCACCCACA